UAGGGAAUCUUCCACAAUGGACGCCAGUCUGAUGGAGCAACGCCGCGUGAGUGAAGAAGGUUUUCGGAUCGUAAAGCUCUGUUGUUGGUGAAGAAGGAUAGAGGCAGUAACUGUUCUUUAUUUGACGGUAAUCAACCAGAAAGUCACGGCUAACUACGUGCCAGCAGCCGCGGUAAUACGUAGGUGGCAAGCGUUGUCCGGAUUUAUUGGGCGUAAAGCGAGCGCAGGCGGAAUGAUAAGUCUGAUGUGAAAGCCCACGGCUCAACCGGGGAACUGCAUCGGAAACUGUCAUUCUUGAGUGCAGAAGAGGAGAGUGGAAUUCCAUGUGUAGCGGUGGAAUGCGUAGAUAUAUGGAAGAACACCAGUGGCGAAGGCGGCUCUCUGGUCUGCAACUGACGCUGAGGCUCGAAAGCAUGGGUAGCGAACAGG
rnacentral:rRNA from 1 species